rnacentral:tRNA from 1 species
GGAGGAGUACCCAAGUGGCUAAAGGGGGCAGACUGUAAAUCUGUUGGCUCAGCCUUCGGUGGUUCGAAUCCGCCCUCCUCCACCA